UUGGAAACCCUAACCAUUUGCUUCUCCUCUUCUUACUUUUGAUGGUUAAAGGUAGAUUAAUAGGAGUAGAGAGGAUGAGAAGAGAAGAUGGCAAGGUACUCGACUUUUAGGUUGUGCUUAAGACCUUGUUGAUCAGCCAGUGCUAGGAUGGAUCCAUUAGGGUUGUCGUUUUCUUGUAAAAAUUUUAUAACUUGUAUUUAUACCUUGGAUUCUCGUAUUUGAGUCUGUGUUGUAUUUCUGUACCAUUUUUUUUUAUUGUUUCAUGUUCUGC